GGGAUAGAGACUUGGACACUGCUCUGCCUGAAGAAAGCUGAAAGAAAUUGAAAGAUUGUCUUUAUUGUUUUGUGAACGUGCUGGAUGCGCUAGUUUUGUUUUGUGUAAACUGGUGAAUAAAUCAACUGAGUCUCCAGUGCCAGCCCUGGUCACUUCCUUCUUCCUACUAUGAACUUUGUUACACUCUCUCUCUUCCCCUCUACCUCUAAACCUGUCCCUAUCCCUAGGUCCCGGGUUUUAGCACCAGUGUAACAAAGUUCGUCAUUCAAAUGACAGUUCUGCAACCAAUCAGAGAUGCUGGGAUUCCCUGAGAUGAGCCAGCAGGCAAAACUCCAACUCCUCUCAGCUCAAACGCAAGUUCCUUAAUCCCUGUCCUUUUAAAAAAACAGCACCUCAUUACAUCGAAAAAAAGGCACUUUUAAGAGCCACAUUUGUCUUGUAUCUUGUUACUCUCUCUACUGUUGUAUUGUGUUCUCUCUCUCUUGCUGUCUUACUGUCUCUCCCUCCCCUCUGAGUGGGGUUUUUGUUUGUUUGUUUUGUCUUUUUUGUCCCUGUGUGUUUAUAGUGUGUUUAUAUUUUGUGCCAUGUCUGAUCCUGAGAUGGACCGUCUCCUUAAUGAGAUGAGUGACCUUGUCGAUCAGGCUGAACAUCAAGCUCACCUCCAACAGCUCAUUAGCAUGCACCAGGAAGCAGAACCAUCCACCAGUCAGCCUUCCACCAGUAAUCCAUCCACCAGCCGGCCAUCAAACAGCAAGCAAGAUGUUAGGUGGAUUAAGAGGGACAGUGAUGGAAACAUUAUUUACGGCAGGCCCAGAUCAUCCCGGAAACAAGCAGUUACAUUUUUUUUACAUUAAUGUUAAUUAAAAUGUAGACUCCAGAUCUAGUUUUGCAUCUUGAUAUGGUAUACAACAUGAUCAUAAGUCAUGGGUCUGAAUUAGAACAUAUCUGAGGUUAUUAUUACGUACCUGUACCUAGCAUCAGGUAAAGUUUGUGUCAUUGAGUGUAAAAAGCAACAGCUUUUUUGCUACAGCAGGUCCCAGUCACAGCCAGAGUCGAAAGACUGGUGUCUAUCAUAUCAGGGCUCCUGAAACCAGUGCGGAAAUGACCAGUGACUUUCCUUCCAUUACUGCAGAGUCCUUCCUUCAAGAGCUUAAAAGCUCGCUGUUUGAGGACAUACAUGAGGAUGAAACAGCACUUCAAGCCUCAACAGACUGGUUGACCCGAAGGAGCCUCAUAUCAGGGUGGUGGGAGAAAGAGAGACCCCGACUGGUCAACACCAUGGUGCCUCGACAACAUGCGGCAACUCGGAUCUGCCAACAUUGUGGAAAUGGUUCAGCCGUAAUCCGUUGUUGUGACUGCCGACCACACCCAUUCCUCUGUGGCCAGUGUGAUGUCAGGGUCCACCGAGGUCAGUUGUUCCACAACAGGGAUUCGAUGACACAUGCAUUCUUUCAUCCAUUGCCUCCCACAACUUGUGUUGUGGAGAGGGUUCUAACCCAGUGUGGUAAGCUGUAGUUUUCUUAGACUUGACUGAAAAACUGAUAGGUCGAUGAAGCCGUCAAGUACAUCUUGUUUAAAAUAGUUGCCAGUAAAUAAAUGUUAUUCUUUAAUGCUUAUCCAUGUGUUUUUUUUUUUUUUUUGAGCGUCUUGUCCCUUUAGAGAUGCCAGAGACAAUAUGCGGUUGUCGACGAGUAUCGUCCAGUGUCAUCGCAGGACAGUCCAUAGUUGUGGUUACAAUGAAUGGGCGAUAUGAUCUCAGAUUGCCUCAGAUUAGAUGCAAAGCAUGUGAAGCCACUUGGAGUCCUGGAGUGGAUGACCUGAUCCGUAAUGACUACUGGCCUGCCACUUCUCACUAUUCAACUGUGUAUGCAACAGAUGUCCUUUUUUCUUUUGAAGAGCUGAAGAUGGCAGCACCAGGGAUGUCUAGCCAAGCAUUUCUUAGAAUGCUGGAUCAACGCACUGUUCGCUUUGGCCGUAGCGGAAACAUCACAGCAGACAGCUUCCGGAAAAGCUUCUUGGAGUGGGAAGCUGUCCAAUUCGAAGUGGACAAAUUAUGUCAGGAGGACCACUUUGACUGCCCAGCAUGCAGCCCAGACAUGCUUGAAGUAUCCGUUGAUGGAAACCAUCGGAGGAAAAAGCCAUCUUUGAUGGCGUGUUCAUCGCGAAUGAUGAUGAUGUCGCAAGAUUCGUGGACCAUGUCCAUACCUCAACCAGUCAUGUCUCUGAAAGAGGUGUCUGUGGAGGGCAAUGGUCAGCGGUGCAUGAAACGUCUCAGAAGUCCUCAGGAAAAACAGACUAGGAGGGCCUGGAACUCGCUGUAUGUCGUCAUGGGGUUCUCUUUCCUGCCCUCAAUAUGUUCAGGGGGGAGAUUUUUGCCUACCCCCUGUACCUCCAAAAGCAAAUUAAGUUAAUUUUUUUGCAAUGGAUGUGGCAUGUAAGUACUGGCCUUACCUCCAGAGAGUGACAGAGAAAUGCCCUGAGCUUGAGGAUCUCCUCACCAUGAGACCAUUUCUUUCUGUUUUUCAUGCCAAAGCUCAUGAUUUCAAAUGUGAGGUAAAAUGGAGUGGAGCAUAUCAGGAGGGGGUUGGUUCGACUCUUGGGGAAGAGGUGGAGCAGUGCAACGCCUUCCUCUCGAGGACUGCUGUUACGACAAAGCACAUGUCAAAAGCAGGAUACAUAGACAUGCUGACGAUCAUGGCCAUGCGCUGGAACCAACAAAAGUUUGACAACUUGGCUUCUACCCUUGCCCGCCGAUAUCGGAAGGCCACAAUAGCCCUGCAAUGCCAGUUGCAUAACCUGGAGGCCAUGAAAACGGAAAUGGACGUCUCAGACAAUCAACUGGAGAGAUGGAUCAUUGAUAUCAAUGAGUGGGCAGAAGCAACAACAUCCCCAAAUAAUGCUGAUGUUGCCGCUGUUGCCAGCCGAAUUGAGGAGCUGGUGGCAAGUGUUAAGAGGAGGUCCCAGCAUUUUUACCAGGAUAGUGACGGAUGCAAAGGACGUGCCCGAAUCCGCCGAAAGAUCAGGGAGGAAAAAAAAUCUUAAAUUCUGUAAUGGAAAAGUAUAACACCUUGGUUCCUAAUGCAGAAAAACUGACAUUGGACACCAUUCUAUCUGACGAGAUUGUUUGGCCAUGGCAGCUUACACAUGGUGACUCUGUAGAUCUAAGGACAAAGUGGAAGGCGUUCGACAUUGUGAUGGCAGUAAGGAGACUUGAGGAGGAGACGAGGAUUCUUAUUGCAGAGAUGAACAAGCAUUGGAAGUCUUUUUGCACCCGUGCAGACACCCUGAAGCAGAUGUCUUCCCACCUUUCUAAUGUGACAUCAGACGUGGGGCCUGCUUCAAGAUGGUAUCCGAGGUCUACAGAGCUUGAUGAUGAAGAACAAGCAAGCAAGCAACAGCCUGGCAAAGCAUGCAAAGAAAUGUUAUGUUCAAGUUCUGACUGAAACAGAAAUUAACUUUGAUAGUGAUUCUGAGGAAUACCAUACCAGUAGUGACUCUGAGCAAGAUUAAACAUGGCCAGAGUCCUUUUUUAUGCUGUUGUGUGCUGGGGAGGCAGCAUUAAGAAGAGGGCCGCUGGGACAGGUUGGUAAGGAAAGCUGGCUCUGUGUUUGGCAUGGAGCUGGAGUUAAUCAUUUAACAAACUGAGGAUAAUUUGCAGUAGCAGUCUUCUGUCAUGCUCAACACUGAAGAGGUCCUUUGUCCCCAGGGCAAACCAGCAACUCAAUGUCACAGAAAAGGUUAGGGGAGAAAUUGACUUUUCAGCAUGAGUCUCACCCUGCGCCAACCAUUACAUCACUUUGUCUAUUGUCUAGUAUCCACUAUCCAUUUGACUGUCUUACACAGUCAAAUGGACAUUAGCCCCUCUACACAUUCUGGACUGUGGUUUCAACAUUUACCCCGUUGGC
ensembl:lncRNA